rnacentral:rRNA from 1 species
AGUGAACGCUGGCGGUAGGCCUAACACAUGCAAGUCGAACGGCAGCACAGUAAGAGCUUGCUCUUACGGGUGGCGAGUGGCGGACGGGUGAGGAAUACAUCGGAAUCUACUUUUUCGUGGGGGAUAACGUAGGGAAACUUACGCUAAUACCGCAUACGACCUACGGGUGAAAGCAGGGGAUCUUCGGACCUUGCGCGAUUGAAUGAGCCGACGUCGCAUUAGCUAGUUGGCGGGGUAAAGGCCCACCAAGGCGACGAUCCGUAGCUGGUCUGAGAGGAUGAUCAGCCACACUGGAACUGAGACACGGUCCAGACUCCUACGGGAGGCAGCAGUGGGGAAUAUUGGACAAUGGGCGCAAGCCUGAUCCAGCCAUACCGCGUGGGUGAAGAAGGCCUUCGGGUUGUAAAGCCCUUUUGUUGGGAAAGAAAAGCAGCAGGUUAAUACCCCGCUGUUCUGACGGUACCCAAAGAAUAAGCACCGGCUAACUUCGUG